AAAGAGGAGCAGCUGUACCUCUCGUCCUGUUUGAUGUGACGUCUCUGAAGACGAUCUGUCCAUAACUGACGUCUUCUGGUCUCCUCACUCCUGAGUAGACUACAGCUGGAUCACUCUCUGUCAAAUAAAAUACAGGACACUUACAGUACUGCAGUGAGACGUUUGCACGUCAGGACUCGGCCGUGUGUUUUUAUCAGGAAGACGAAACUGGACGACCACAGAGCUGUUGAACCCACAAGGUCACGUGAUGUUUUGACAUCACUGUAUGUGACGUCAUCAUCUCCAACGUCUACGUCAGCAGCUGAAAGGAACCAGGAUGAACAGAACAUUUAAAUCAGUUUCAAUCAUAAAACAGAAAUGUAAACUUCAUCUGCUGA